rnacentral:misc_RNA from 1 species
AUGGCUGGUGCAAAGUGUAAGGGGUUGGCCAAGUCAAUGGGCCCUUCUCGGAUGAGAGAGGAGUUUGGGGACGUUGAGACUAUGUUGGCCAGAAUUUUGAGACACUUGAUCAAUGAGGAGUCAAGAGUUGACAAGGUUGAGGACCGGUUGGUGGAGCUUUGGGGGGACAUGGAAGAGAGCCAUGAGGAACUUCAAGCCGCACUUAAAGAGACCCUUGACAAGUUGACAAGUGAAUGUGAGGCCCUGAAAGUUGUCCACGCCAAGGAGAUGACCACCGUGAGGGAAGACAACCAUGUUCUUAAAGGAGAGGUAGAAAAGUUGAAGGGAGAAAUGAAGGGUAUGCGGGAAGAGUUUGAAUUGCUUGCAAGAUUGGUGG